rnacentral:rRNA from 1 species
UACGAAGGGGGCUAGCGUUGCUCGGAAUCACUGGGCGUAAAGGGCUCGUAGGCGGCCAACUAAGUCAGACGUGAAAUCCCUCGGCUUAACCGGGGAACUGCGUCUGAUACUGGAUGGCUCGAGUUUGGGAGAGGGAUGCGGAAUUCCAGGUGUAGCGGUGAAAUGCGCAGAUAUCAGGAAGAACACCCGUGGCUAAGGCGGCUCUCUAGUACGGUACUGACGCUGAGACGCGAAAGCGUGGGGAGCGAACAGG